rnacentral:rRNA from 1 species
UACGGAAGGGGCAAGCGUUGUUCGGAAUUAUUGGGCGUAAAGGGCGCGUAGGCGGCUUGGCAAGUGGAUGGUGAAAUCCCUCGGCUUAACCGAGGAACUGCCGUCCAAACUGCUUCGCUUGAGACCGGGAGAGGUGAGUGGAAUUCCCAGUGUAGCGGUGAAAUGCGUAGAUAUUGGGAGGAACACCAGUGGCGAAGGCGGCUCACUGGACCGGUACUGACGCUGAUGCGCGAAAGCGUGGGGAGCAAACGGG